rnacentral:rRNA from 1 species
CGUACACUCCUGCGGGAGGCAGCAGUGGGGAAUAUUGCACAAUGGGCGCAAGCCUGAUGCAGCCAUGCCGCGUGUAUGAAGAAGGCCUUCGGGUUGUAAAGUACUUUCAGCGGGGAGGAAGGCGAUAAGGUUAAUAACCUUGUUGAUUGACGUUACCCGCAGAAGAAGCACCGGCUAACUCCGUGCCAGCAGCCGCGGUAAUACGGAGGGUGCAAGCGUUAAUCGGAAUUACUGGGCGUAAAGCGCACGCAGGCGGUCUGUCAAGUCGGAUGUGAAAUCCCCGGGCUCAACCUGGGAACUGCAUUCGAAACUGGCAGGCUAGAGUCUUGUAGAGGGGGGUAGAAUUCCAGGUGUAGCGGUGAAAUGCGUAGAGAUCUGGAGGAAUACCGGUGGCGAAGGCGGCCCCCUGGACAAAGACUGACGCUCAGGUGCGAAAGCGUGGGGAGCAAACAGGAUUAGAUACCCCUGUAGUCCCAUGA